ACGAACGCUGGCGGCGCGCCUAACACAUGCAAGUCGAACGAGAGAUGAGGAGCUUGCUCUUCAAAUCGAGUGGCGAACGGGUGAGUAACGCGUGAGGAACCUGCCUCAAAGAGGGGGACAACAGUUGGAAACGACUGCUAAUACCGCAUAAGCCCACGGCUCGGCAUCGAGCAGAGGGAAAAGGAGUGAUCCGCUUUGAGAUGGCCUCGCGUCCGAUUAGCUGGUUGGUGAGGUAACGGCCCACCAAGGCGACGAUCGGUAGCCGGACUGAGAGGUUGAACGGCCACAUUGGGACUGAGACACGGCCCAGACUCCUACGGGAGGCAGCAGUGGGGAAUAUUGCACAAUGGGGGAAACCCUGAUGCAGCGACGCCGCGUGGAGGAAGAAGGUCUUCGGAUUGUAAACUCCUGUUGUUGAGUAAGAUAAUGACGGUACUCAACAAGGAAGUGACGGCUAACUACGUGCCAGCAGCCGCGGUAAAACGUAGGUCACAAGCGUUGUCCGGAAUUACUGGGUGUAAAGGGAGCGCAGGCGGGAGGACAAGUUGGAAGUGAAAUCCAUGGGCUCAACCCAUGAACUGCUUUCAAAACUGUUUUUCUUGAGUAGUGCAGAGGUAGGCGGAAUUCCCGGUGUAGCGGUGGAAUGCGUAGAUAUCGGGAGGAACACCAGUGGCGAAGGCGGCCUACUGGGCACCAACUGACGCUGAGGCUCGAAAGUGUGGGUAGCAAACAGGAUUAGAUACCCUGGUAGUCCACACCGUAAACGAUGAUUACUAGGUGUUGGAGGAUUGACCCCUUCAGUGCCGCAGUUAACACAAUAAGUAAUCCACCUGGGGAGUACGACCGCAAGGUUGAAACUCAAAGGAAUUGACGGGGGCCCGCACAAGCAGUGGAGUAUGUGGUUUAAUUCGACGCAACGCGAAGAACCUUACCAAGUCUUGACAUCCUUCUGACCGGUACUUAACCGUACCUUCUCUUCGGAGCAGGAGUGACAGGUGGUGCAUGGUUGUCGUCAGCUCGUGUCGUGAGAUGUUGGGUUAAGUCCCGCAACGAGCGCAACCCUUAUGGUCAGUUACUACGCAAGAGGACUCUGGCUAGACUGCCGUUGACAAAACGGAGGAAGGUGGGGAUGACGUCAAAUCAUCAUGCCCUUUAUGACUUGGGCUACACACGUACUACAAUGGCGUUAAACAAAGAGAAGCAAGACCGCGAGGUGGAGCAAAACUCAGAAACAACGUCCCAGUUCGGACUGCAGGCUGCAACUCGCCUGCACGAAGUCGGAAUUGCUAGUAAUCGUGGAUCAGCAUGCCACGGUGAAUACGUUCCCGGGCCUUGUACACACCGCCCGUCACACCAUGAGAGCCGGGGGGACCCGAAGUCGGUAGUCUAACCGCAAGGAGGACGCCGCCGAAGGUAAAACUGGUGAUUGGGGUG
rnacentral:rRNA from 1 species